AAAAGACUGAUGAACUUGAUUUAGUUAAAAUUAAGAAUUUUUGUCACCGACAGUUCCCAGUAAUAGAAUGGAAAAUAAACUAAACUUGGAGCAAUUAGAGAGAGAGGCAGACAGAGCACGCCUAGGGAAGGGUGUAGAGUGGCCUCCCUCGCGUGGCUGCUCAGUAUUGUUUGCGCUCAGCCAGGGUGACCUGACGCCCGCUUUGGAAAACUGCUGAACAGCGGGCGGGCGCAGUGGUUUCUUGCAAGGUCCCAGGCAGAGCGGAAUGCAUACACCAGGAAGCCAGCAGGCCUGUCCGGAGAGGCACGGCUCACAGCCUCCGGACUGGAGAGAGCCCAGUUGCUGGGCUUCCGAGCCUUCCUCCCCUGCCCACGACUAAGGAAUGAGCCCUUCUCUGCGCCUGGCCCUGCUGCACGGAGCCGCAGAGCUGAAAGUGAAAGAUGUCGUCUCCGCCUGGCCCUGACCCCUCCAGCGAGUGAGUGACUCCUUCCUCCGGAGCCGACCCUUCACCAGAGAACAGGCUCAGGAUGCCCUGGCCCUGUCUGUGCAGCAGGGACCAUUGCCCUUGGAUACUGCUGACCCCUAGGGACUGCCCAGUGCCUCACAUACACCAUGAACCCGUGCCAGACCCACACCAGGACGGUGCAGACGAAGCACGGAAAAGAAGGCGCUCUAGACCACAGCUCGAGGCUACGUCAGGAGCCAGCAAGCUGCGCUCUGCCUCCAGCCACCCGGCCUGGGCCAGGAGGCCGACUGUUACUGAUGUGGAGACAGACAGGGAUGCUCCUGGCUGCCCAUCAGGGCCUUGGCAGACGAGGGAGCAGAGCCUGGAGAAGCCCAGAGUCCUGGCCAUGGGACACAGGACCCCGAGGGGGCCCUGGAGACCGUUGCUCUCGCUGGGCUGCAGAGAGCUGCAGGUGGGGUCCCUGCUGCAGGUGUCCUGGCAGCUGGGGCGCUUGCUGGGGCCCUGCCCGGCCUGGGGAAUGUUCUCAGAUGGUGUAGCAGUUCCAGGUUUACUCAGAGCUCUCUUCUGAGCUGUCAUGAAAAGUCCCUUUGGCCUGGGGCCCGGGCAGGCUGGGGCGGUGGGGCCUGUGAGCCUUGGGGGGGGGCGAGGGUCCUCCCAGCUCCCUCCCCAACUCAGCGGGGCCUGGAGAAGCAGGGGAGAGAGGGGCAGGGGGCAAGAAGACCCUCGUCUUGGGGCUCUCUUUUCUUCCCUUCACAAUGGCCUCCUGGGUGACCCUAGAAAAUGCCCCUCCCUCCCCAGCACUCAGUUUCCCUGUCUGUCAAAGGGGUGUAGAAUCACCCUAAAUCAGAUCCAUCAUUAGGUGAGGACUCAGUACAUGCUGGUGUUCCAGCCAGUGACAAGACUAUUAUCACCAAAAAUAAA